AGGUUCAAAAAGGGUAUAAUAUUUCAAACACUUUAGGUGAAAAUUUGGCUAGAGAAGGGUUUUCAAAAACGGCAUUGAUCAUAUGACAUUUACAUGCAAUUCAAUCAAUCAUCAUGAUUAAGGCAAUAUCAUCCAUAUUUUCCUGUGAACAAAACAUGCAACAAUAAAAACUCUAGAGCUCAAAAUCUCACACACAUGCUUCCUCACACAAAAUUCAUUCAUACACCACCUAGCAUCAUGACCACAAUCAUAAAUUCAUCACCCAUCUAUUUUCUGGAUAUCAUCAUGCAUUACAACUCAAUUUUCAUCCACAUCCAAAAAUCAUCAAAUAGAUCUAUCAUGCAAAUUAGCUAGUCAAGCAUUUUCAGAGCAAGUAAUAAAGCCAAGAAUACACACUAAAAUUAAAAUUCAACCUAUUAUAGGAAUUUAAAAAAUGCAAAAGUGUAAGAAGAAAUUCUAGGUUGCCUCCUAGUAGAGCUUUUUUAACAUCACGAGCCUGACCCAAACCUGGUUGGCACUUGUCAGUAAGUGCACUACCUUCCACCACCCAUCAGUAGGUGUACCUUCCGGAUAUCCUUCAGUGGAUACCAAAAAUUUAGCAUCCCUCAGUAGAUGCUAAUCAUUACUACCAUCAGAAGCAGUGCAUAACCCAAAAAUAAGAUAAAAUAAAGUAAAAUAACAUAAAAUAAAAUAAAAAAAUAAAAAAAAUAAAAAUAAAAAUAAAAUAAAGUAAAAUCAAAUCAAAUAAAAUAAGAUACAAUAAAAUAAAAUAAAAUAAAAUAAAAUCAAAUCAAAUCAAAUAAAAUCACAUAAAAUAAAAUAAAAUCAAAUCAAAUCAAAUCAAAUAAAAUAAAAUCAAACACCCAUCAGUAGGUGUUGAUACUCCCCUUUCUUGAUAUUCUUUUCUUUUUCUUCUUCCUGCUGAAUUUCUUCAUAAAAUUAAGAACACCAAGCACUUGUUUCCAUGUUUCAAUCAUAGGAACUUUAAUCUCCAAUUUCUUGAAGAUCUCCAUAAAGCUCAAAAAUUUAUUUUCCUUCCUAUGAUAUUUCUUUUUAUGCGGAAGGGGUUUUUCACAAGAUCUUUUCUUUUUACCUCUCUUCCUUUUCUUCUCUCUCCUCAACUUUCCUCUUUUCUCUUUUCUUCUUUUCUUCUUUAUUUUUGAAUAUUUUUUCUUUUUUUCUUUUUUCUUAACCACUGCUUUUUCUCCCUCAUCAUCUUUAUCUUCCUUAACCAACUCUUCUAUUUCUUCUUCUUUUAAAUAUCUCUCUAUCUCUUCUUCCUCUAUCUUUUCCUCCUUGACAACCUUAUCAUUUUUAGAGAUAGUGGCUUGAUAUUCUUCUUCAGGGUUAACUUCUAUAUUAUCCCUAAUAAUGCCCAGAGACUUCAAAACAUGAGAGUGUUGUUCCUGCAAUAAACAUGCCUGUUUUUCUCCCAAAGUUUCUUUGCGUACAGGAGAUUGUUUUUGUUGUAAACGUUG
rnacentral:lncRNA from 1 species